rnacentral:rRNA from 1 species
AUACGGAGGGUGCAAGCGUUGUUCGGAUUUAUUGGGCUUAAAGGGUGUGUAGGCGGUGUAUUAAGUCAGUGGUGAAAGCCUGCGGCUCAACCGUAGAACUGCCAUUGAUACUGACACACUUGAGUAUGGACGAGGUAGGCGGAAUUUAGGGUGUAGCGGUGAAAUGCAUAGAUACCAUAAAGAACACCGAUAGCGAAGGCAGCUUACUAGGCCAUAACUGACGCUGAGGCACGAAAGCGUGGGGAGCGAACAGGAUUAGAUACCCUAGUAGUCC